ensembl:snRNA U6 U6 spliceosomal RNA
GUGCUCACUUGGCAGCAUAUUGGAACGAUACAGAGAAGAUUAGCAUGGCCCCUGCGCAAAGAUGACAUGCAAAUUCGUGAAGCAUUCCAUAUUUUU